AUAGUUUGAUUAUGGCUCAGAAUGAACGCUGGCGGUAUGCUUUACACAUGCAAGUCGUACGGGAGUUUUUAACUCAAGUGGCGGACGGGUGAGUAACACGUAAGAAUUUGCCUUUAGGAGGGGGAUAACAACUGGAAACGGUUGCUAAUACCCCAUAUGCUUUCGAGUGAAAUGGAUUUUUCCGCCUGGAGAGAAGCUUGCGGCUGAUUAGCUUGUUGGUGAGGUAAUGGCUCACCAAGGCGACGAUCAGUAUCUGGUUUGAGAGGACGAUCAGACACACUGGAACUGAGACACGGUCCAGACUCCUACGGGAGGCAGCAGUGGGGAAUUUUCCGCAAUGGGCGAAAGCCUGACGGAGCAAUACCGCGUGAGGGAUGACGGCCUAUGGGUUGUAAACCUCUUUUUUCAGGGAGGAUAAUGACGUGUACCUGAAGAAUAAGCAUCGGCUAACUCCGUGCCAGCAGCCGCGGUAAGACGGGGGAUGCAAGUGUUAUCCGGAAUCACUGGGCGUAAAGCGUCUGUAGGUGGUCCAAUAAGUCAACUGUUAAAUCUUGAGGCUCAACCUCAAAAUCGCAGUCGAAACUAUUAGACUAGAGUAUAGUAGGGGUAAAGGGAAUUUCCAGUGGAGCGGUGAAAUGCGUAGAGAUUGGAAAGAACACCGAUGGCGAAGGCACUUUACUGGGCUAUUACUGACACUCAGAGACGAAAGCUAGGGUAGCAAAUGGGAUUAGAUACCCCAGUAGUCCUAGCCGUAAACAAUGG
rnacentral:rRNA from 1 species